rnacentral:lncRNA from 1 species
ACGCUUCCUUCCUUGCAAACAUUACUUGGUUCCUUCAAGCUUAACUUAAGAAUAAGAAAAUUUAAACAAACAAACGGGGCAUACCAAAGUUCAUUGCAACAAACAAUUAAAACUCACAAAAGAUCCAUGCAAUUAACAAACCAAAGUUUAUGGUGAAACAAGAGCCACCAAAAGUACAAUCAUAAUUAAAACAUAAAACAAUAAUAAUAAAAAAAAAACUUAAAAUAAAAAUCUACUACUACU